rnacentral:misc_RNA from 1 species
ACGUUUUAUCUGAGCGUCUCCGUCGCCGUGAGCUGUCGCCGGUUGUUUUCUUGUUGGUUCUCUCUCGCCUCUGUCUUGUUGAGCGUCGGCCACCAUCCGUACCGCACGCCCGAGGUUCCUACCCCGCCGUUGCUGCAAGCAGCGAGAAAGUCGACGACUGCGCAGAAGGGAGCGGCGGCAGCUCACUGUGUCGCGUGCGUCUGUGAAGUCAUCUCAGACAUGCGAGGCGGAUUUUGCUAUCACUGCCUCGACCGUCAGCCCCGCAUAACUGUUCCAGAGCCCGCAGCGCCGUGAUUUCUGUUGGCUGGUUUCACCGCCUCCGGUAUUUUUUGUUUUGCUUUCCUUGCCGUCUAUCAGUCCACUUCGGUGUUGCCGUGGCUCUUGUCUCUGUCCCGUCCCGCGCAUCAGCCGCGCCACCACUCCCCCUCGCUCCCUCCCUGUGCACACGUUUCGAGUGCGCUGAUCACAGCUUGCAGGGGGCACACAUACUUUGGAUCGGCACUUCUUGCAUUCGCUUCUUGUGUGUAAGCGCGCCGAGCACCGAUAAUGGCACGCACAUCGUGGAGCUCGAGCUCUACCGGCUCCAUCAGUGCUGGCAGCGAUGAGAGCUACUGCCGCAGUGAGCCGGCCAAGGGAGGCAGUUUCAUGGAUCAGCUGCUGGCGAUCCUGUACCGCACGCUCCGUCAGACGCUGCGCACCAAGGCGAUUUUGUUCAUGGAAAUUGUUCUGCCGCUCAUGUUCAUCGUCAUUACGCUCAUUUUGUGGUUAGUGUGGUUGCCCUUCCAAGGCCGUUCGAGGCAGUUCAUCGACUACACGCCCUACGCGUCCUCUGCGGCUACGCUGCACAAACAGCUCACCUGUUUCAACAGCUCGGAGGGAGAGCCCAUCCCGGGGCUGUGUGAUUGCGCCUGGAUAUCCAUACUCAGCAACUACACGGUCUUGUGCGCCGGCGACUACGACACGAUCCCGUACAAGAACCUCUGCUAUGUCGACCUCCCGUUCGACUUCAGCAACUUCAAGGUCAACGGCUACGCCGUUGGGAACAUCACGGGGGCCAACAAGCUGGUGCAGGUGUGGGUCAACUCGUACAACACGAGCCUGUUUGUGAUCCCGACGCUGGAUGAGGUGAUCAUCUUCCACUGGCUGGCUCGGAUUAGCAGGUCAAAAACGAAGAGCGAUGGCAACCUCCUCUCCGCUGGCAUCGCGGCUGGUUUGAUGCCCAACUCGAAGCAGUCUUCUGUUUUGUGCUCCGGCGCCCUGUACUUCGUCGGCAGCUCAGCGCAGGUAGACCCGCUGCUGGAUUACUUCCGAAAGGAGUCGGUGCUCUUCGACAAGGUGUACGGCGGCACCUACGCAACCGUGGUAGAGGCGGAGGCCAAGGUACGCGCCACGGAAUGGAAUUGGGCCAUCAUCGAACUCAACGGCUUCGAUGCGAGCGCGUUUGACGUGACCAUCCGCAUGAACUCGACCGCGCUGCCGACGUUUGCGCUUCCGUACGACAAGAGCUAUGGCGGCGGCUUCUACAACAGCCGUGCCGACCUCUACGCCGUCGCCGGGUUUCUGUCCAUUCAGCAGAUCAUCUCGGAAUACUACCUGAAGCUGGUCGUGGGGAGCACCGCCACCGGCACAGAUUUACCGCUGGACCAUUACGUGGCUGUCGCUGGCUACGCCAGUUUCAUCACGCAGCCGCUCCUCACCACUGCCAAUAUCUUGCUGCCGCUCAUCUUCGUCAUGGCGUACCUCUACCCCGUCUCGCAGUUCACGAAGCGCAUCGUGCUGGAGAAGGAGCUGCGGAUCCGCGAGGCCAUGCAGAUCAUGGGGCUCGGCAACGCCCCGAUCUACAUUUCGUGGUACCUCACCUUCUUCUUGCCGAACUUCUUUGUCACGAUCGUCACCCUCGUCGUGAUUCGGAUGACGUACAUCACAAUCACGAACAUCCUUAUCCUGUUCCUGGUGUACUACAUCUACCUCAUCACCUGCGUACCCCUAGCUGGCUUCUACUCGGCCUUCUUCAGCAAGGCUCGCCUCGCCUCCUUGCUGACGCCGCUCAUCUACUUCGUGUUCGCCAUGCCAGUCUUCGCGAUUCAGAGCGCCAAUACCGCAAUAAUAACCGCCUUUUGCAUCUUCCCGCCCACCGCCUACGCCGUCACGAUGCUCGGCAUUAUUGAUCACGAAAUAGCCGGCGGCUUUGCGGAAGCCAGCUGGCACGACGCCCUCGACACGCCUCCGGUGUAUCUGGCCAUCGUCAUGAUGGCCGUGGACUUUGUCUUCUUCAACCUGCUUAUGCUCUACCUCGACAACGUUAUGCCGAAGCAGUGGGGUACGCGCAAGCACCCGCUCUUCUUCAUCAUUGACCCCGUCAUGCGGUGCUUCAACUCGAAGCACAAGCGCCUCGAGGGCGGCGCCGACGGGCGCGCCGAGAACGGCGUGUUCGAGGACGUCGACGGCGACGACGACGCGGUGAUUUUGGACGGCCUGCGCAAGGAGUACUCGCGCGGCGGCAAGAGGUUCGUUGCGGUGAACAACCUGUACUGGGGGAUGCGCGAGGGCGAGAUCUCUGUGCUGCUGGGGCACAACGGCGCCGGCAAGACGACGGUGCUGAACAUGAUGACGGGGAUGGUCGAGCCGGACGCGGGCGACUGUUACGUCUACGGCAGCUCUGUGCGGACGGCGAAGGCCGACGUGCGCCAGCAGAUCGGAUACUGUCCGCAGCACAACAUCCUGUGGGGCGAGCUGACGUGCCGCGACCACCUGGAGUUCUUUGGGCGGAUUAAGGGGUUGCGCGGGUGGGAGCUGGAGAAUGCCGUGUGCCGGAUGUUGCACGAGACGGACCUGCUGGAGAAGAUGGACCAGCCGGCGAAGAGCCUGUCGGGGGGGCAGAAGCGCAAGCUCUCGGUCUCCAUCGCCUUCGUGACUUGCAGUCGCCUCGUCUUCCUGGACGAGCCCACGGCCGGCAUGGAUGUGGGUGCGCGGCGAUACACGUGGGAGCUGCUGCGGCGCAUGUCCGCUCAUCACACCAUUUUCCUGACGACGCACUACAUGGACGAGGCAGAUCUGCUGGGGCACAAGAUCGGGAUCAUGAGCCAGGGGCGACUGAAGUGCUCGGGCAGCAGCAUGUUUCUGAAGAGCCACCUCGGGUUCGGGUACAGCAUUACGAUGUCCCUUUGCGACGCCGCUUCCGUGAACGCAAUCUCGAAGCUCGUGCAGUCAUCGGUGGACGGCGCUCACAAGGUUGGGUUGAACGGGUGUGAGGUGAUGUACCGACUGCCCAACGAGCGUGUCGAACAGUUCCCGGAGUUUCUGGAUCGACUGGAGGCGGUGAAAGACGCGCUCGGCGUUCGCGGCUACUCGCUGUCGGCGACGACGCUAGAGGAGAUAUUUCUUCGCAUGUCCAACGAGGACAUCGAGCGGGAGCGCGAAGAAGACCCUCUGAUGCAGCUGCACCCAGAUAUCACCGCUGCGCAGGAGAGUUGCAUAUGGAACUGUGAGAUAGUGGAGGGGCGCAAGGCGAUGCUGUGGUCGCAGUUCAAGGCGAUGAUGACGAAGCGCAUGUGGAAUGGCCUGCGGGAUCGCAAGAUGCAGUUUUUCCAGGUGGUGUGCCCGGUGAUUUGCAUUUUGAUUGCUAUGCUGCUCUCACUCAUCUCCCUCAACGGCCCCGACACCAUAACGCUGAACAAGGAAAUCUACCCCGGCGAGGUUCUGGUGGAGAUGAACGGGUGCGAUGAGCUGCUCGGCCCCAACGCCUCCUUCGACAACUUCACAGUGCGGCACCAAAAAUACAUGAAUGCGCUGAACUUGUCCACCUACAUGGUCGACACGUUUCUCUCUCAGCCCACGUUGCGCGUGGAGGGGCUCGUGUGCCGCGAUCCAGACUGGGCAAACGCCGUGAAGACACCGAACAACGUGAUACACAUACUGAACUCGUCCACCUAUCACCAGGGGCCCAUCUCCGUGAACUCCAUCUACCAGGCACUCUACAGGAAGUAUACGGGAAAAAAUGCCCGCUUUACGCUGGUGGCGGGAACGAUGCCGCGCACCAAGCAAGAGAAGGUGACGCAGGACGCGCUGAAGACGAUUCUCAUGGGCGCGAUUAUCAUGAUCCCGUUCACGUUCCUGCCGUCGAACGUGGUGGCGUGGGUGGUGAAGGAGCGGGAGUGCAAGGCGAGACAUCUGCAGAACGUCUCGGGGCUGAGCUUUUACAUCUACUGGCUCACGAAUUUUCUCUUCGACAUGGUCGCCUACAUCAUCUCCAUGUGCCUCGUCAUCGUCAUCUUCCUCAUGUUCAGCCGCGAUGAGUACGUGGCCAAGGACCGUAUCGGCGCCGUGUUCGUCCUCUUCUUCAUCUACGGCCUCUCGAGCACGACCGCGGGGUACAUGUGCAGUUUCCUCUUCGACGAGCACUCCAACGCGCAGACGAUGGUGAUGGCCGCCAGCUUCGUCGCCGGGUUUCUUCUCGUCAUGGUCGUGUACAUCAUGUCGCUGCUCUCACAGACCAUGGCGGCGGCCGAUGUCCUCCGGUGGAUCACGCGCAUCGUGCCAAGUUUUGCCAUUGGCGAGGGCAUCAUCAACUUGGCGAUGCUGACGCAGCGGCAGGCGAUCGUAGGCGGCGUGACGGCGUGGUCAAUGGACACGAUCGGGUGGGCGUGCGUGUACAUGUCAGUCGAGUUCCCGCUGUUUUUCGCAAUCACCCUCUGGAUCGACCACCCGCGGCGGCGCAUGUGGGGACAGCGCAACAACUACGACGUCGACGCGGCUCCGCAGACGGUGUCGGAAGAGGACUCCGACGUUGAGAAGACGCGUGAAGAAGUGUACAAAGAGGAGGCUGAGGGCGUCAACGACGACAUGGUGCGCGUGGUGGACCUCCGCAAGGUGUACCCUAACGGCAAGGAGGCGGUGCGCAACGUCACCUUCUCCGUGGCCCCCGGCGAGGUGUUCGGCUUCCUCGGCACGAACGGUGCUGGUAAGACGACGACGAUUUCGAUGCUGUGCCAGGAAUUCAUUCCGACAAGCGGCAAGGCGUACGUCUGCGGCUACAACAUUGUGGAGAACAGCAUCGAGGCGCUGCAGUGCAUCGGGUACUGCCCGCAGUUCGACGCGUGCCUGGACCUGCUGACGGUGAAAGAGCACCUGGAGCUGUACGUGGGCGUGCGAGGUAUUCGGUACGAAGAGCGUGAUGUUGUCAUCGACGCCUUGCUGCGCAUGUGCGAACUCUCUACUUAUCGCUACACCCUAUCCUCGGAGCUGUCCGGUGGCAACCGGCGCAAGCUGUCUGUGGCGCUUUCUCUCAUUGGAGGGCCUCGAGUCGUCUUCCUGGACGAACCGUCGGCCGGCAUGGACCCUGUGGCGCGGCGCGGGUUAUGGAAUGCAAUCGAAAAGGUCGCCGACAACAGCUCCGUUGUGCUGACGACGCACCACCUGGAGGAGGUGGAGGCGCUUGCGCAUCGCGUGGCGAUCAUGGUGGAUGGCACCCUGCGCUGCAUCGGCGACAAGACUCACCUGAAGAACAAGUUCGGCACCGGCUUUGAGAUGAGCGUACGUGUGGGUGCAGAGGAGGACAUGGGGAAUGUGCACACGUGGGUGAAGACACGGUUCCCCGACGCGACGAUGAAUGAGUGUAAGGGGCAACGUUUUGUCUACACGCUGCCGGCCAACGUCGCCCUCUCGGAUGUCUUCCGUCUCUUGCAACAGAAGAAGGAGACGCUGAACAUUACGGACUACAGCGUGUCGCAGACUUCCAUCGAACAGGUGUUCCUGAAGAUCAGCGGAGAACUAGAGGAGGCGACCGCCUUCCGUCGCACGCUGGAGGACACGCUCGCGCUGCCGAGUAGGAAGAGCGCCUUGGCGGAUGCCGCGAAUUUCGACCCGGCAACUCGCAACUUGUUUCUCGGCAGGUCGAGAUAGAGCCAUUCGGUGUUGCGUGACGGCGGCGGGGAUCGCGGGUGGCGGGAUAGGAGGAAAUAAGGCGCGUCCGCGAAAGCGGGUCGUCUUCAGCUGGAGUAUGCACGACUCUUUCCAGCAUGAGGGUACCCGCGCCCCUUCCUCCUCUUCUCUUUCGCCCGGAACUGAUCGUUGCGUUGUCGGACACAUCGCCCGUUCUGUGCCGUUUAUAGACGACACUUGCUGGGGUACGUUUUCGUCAUUUCUAACCCCGAUGUGUCCGAGAGGAGAGGAGGAAGGUGCAACCUGUUCACCAGCCUGCGUGGUGCUUCGAUGUGCGCCCGCCACCUCCUCGGCGUUGGGUUACUCUUGUCGCUUCGUCUUGGAUGAAGUGCAUUGGAACCUUGUGCUGGCAUGUGCAUACUCGUUUUUUAUUAUUUCUUUUCGCUCUCCUGGUGUGAGACCGUGCUUCAGCAUCACGGUGAUCGCUGUGUGUGUGUGCGUGGGCGGUGGGGGAGGGGGGCUCUUCAGUUUCUCCUUGUGCGUGGGCGUAUGUGUGUAUGUUUCUCAUUUCUUCGUUCGCUUUUCCAUAUUUUGAUGUGAAUGACGGAUCAACUCUACCGGGUGCGUGGUUCCCGUUUCGCUGCUUUGGUGGACCACCUCACAUCGACCGUGCCUCUACUUGUCCAUGUGCAAUUCCGCGUUGUGUUCUCGCCCAGUCGCCUUUUUUUUUUCGCUCUCUUGCCCUCCCCCUUCCGCUUCACCAUCGACCGCUCCUCACACCUUCUGUCUCCCGAAGACUCCGUCUUGCUCGAAGGGCAGGCACCUGCGACUCACGCGUCACGUCACGCGGUGAUGGAGGCUCAUGUUAGCCCACACACACACACACACACACAUGUAUUCAUUUCUUUGCUUACACGCGCCGUUGAGAUGUAUCUCCCUUUUUAUGCUCUCCUACCCACCUUUUACUUGCUUUUUGUGCUCAUCUUGUACGGGUGUUUUCUGUGAGAGGCACCGCCAGUGGCGGCGACGCCCCGGACGAUCGCUCGCCUCUCAUGUGAUUGCCAGUCAUUUUUCGGGAGCGCUCUCGCCUGUCAUGCCGCCUCCAGCCGCACCCCUCACUACCGCGGAUGAACUUCCGCAUGCGAAUCGCGUUUUCUUUUCCCCUUUUCUUUGCAUUUAUGCCACACAUCGCUGUCUCUCUCUCUGUGUUUUUUUUGACGUUUUCUAUUCUCUCCUUUCGUCUUGUCCGUCUGACCGCGUCCAACUCCCGUGUCGGUUGCUUCUCUCUCCGACUUGUUGUGAAGAAGGCGAGGGGAUAUCAGCGCAUGCCUCAACAACGCGCAAUGACGGUCGAACUGCCACCACCGUCGGUGUGCGCUGAUUCUUGGGGGAGGAGUAUGUGUGUAUCCAUGUCUGCGUGCAUCUUCACGAGGUUGCCUGUGUGUGCUCACAUCAUUGUUUUUUUCUUUUUUGCCGUUCUUGGCAUACGCCAACCUGUCCCAGUGCUUCCAUCUCUUUCACGUAAUCCUUCUUCCCGGCUCACAAGGUGGCCGAGUCUCUCCUCGUGACCUACCCGUUCUGGCCCUAUUUCCUUGUGUCUCUUCACCGUCGCCGGAGCUCCGCCUAUUUGUCCCGUCGCUCCUCACUUUCUCUCUCGCUGCGACAUCGCCUUUUCGUUGCGCCCCCUGCUGUUGUGUGCGCACACUGGUGCUUCCCGUAAGUGGUGCGUUGCCGUUUGUCGUGAUUCCUGUAGGCGUGUCGAUGGUGCGAGUGUACCAACCGGGUCUGCAGCACCUCCAGUCAUCGCUGACAGAGGGGGAGUACGAGACGAGGGAGGCAGAGGAACGUGUCGGUGAGGGCGGUAAAGGGAAGCCAACUCCACUGUCCGUCUCUCCUCCAUUUCUAUUGCCAACAUGUGAACAGCUCGCCAAUGUUGCUAUUAUCCUCUGUUUUCUUCUGGAUCAGGGCCACGCCUUCUGUGCUCCCUGCCUUCUGGUCUAUUCUUUUUCUUGGUCGCCUCGCAUGCGCACAUGCACAGACAUCAACGCGUGCGCCCACGGACGAGCGUACGUGAACACAGAGAGCGAGACAGACUAACGGGCAGACAGGGUCAGAGAGAGCGCGAGCAGGGGAAACAUCGGCCAUGUGCGACUCUGAGUGUGCGCAUGCGCAGUCUGUGUUUAUUACGCCUGCUGAAACGUGCAGCGGCGGAGGAGGGGUCUCUCACUGGCUACCGGUCGCCGUCGCCUUCCCUCCCUCCUGCCAACCCGCGCACACAGACGUGGCAGGGCGCUAGAGCUUCCGCGCGAGUAGGAUCGAGCCAUGGAUGCUGCUUACGCGUUGUUGUUCUCCCUGCUUUGCCGCGACCCAGCAUUGCCGAUGUCUUGGCUUAUGCGUGCCUGUGCUCUCUCUCUCGUGGGUAGAGCGAACCGCACGCGACGGUUCUCUUGGUGUGCUACUCUCUCUCCUUUUCUGUGUGCGCUCGUGUGAUAGGUCCUCUUUUGUUGUUCAGCGCUCGCCGCACCAUUUUUUUUCUUGCAGUUUGUGCGUACGAUUUUGUCGUGCUGUCGGGCGUUCGGUCUAUAUGGGGGUUGCUGCUGUGGUGGUUGCUCCGGCGUCUCUCUCUGUCUCCGUCAUCUCUGUCUGUGUUUCACGUCUCGGACCCCUCCGAGUCGUCGUCUCGCCGCUCGCCCGCUGCCCGCUGUCGAGGAGUGCUUGCGCCUGUGAUUUUGUUUGAUUUUGAAGCGUGCGUGCUCGCUUACAACUGCGCAGCGACACUAGCGCACAGCCGCCUUCGCCAAUUGUGUCCGUGGGUGCCGGGGGACAAACAGCUGAAGCCCCAAGGUUGCUCCCUACGGCUAUCUGCGAGGGGCUGUUUCAGGGUUAUUCGUGGGCUCGUGAGACGCGCUCGAAAACAGAAUGACUUUCCAUUGACAAGCAUCAGGACCUUGCGAUGCUCGGACGAGGCGGGUGAUGGGCGAAGGACGAGAAGAGGAGUCGUGAGCCGAGCAUACUCGAUCGCUUGAGAGAAGAAGCGCAUUCCACUCAGAGCUCUGACACCUGACGUGUUCGCGCAGACGGUGUGUGACGGUGGGGGGGGGAGGGUCUUUUUCUCACUCGUGUCAGUGUAACUACGAGCCGGUCCCGCGCUUAGGCCGAACAGGCUACAGGCCCAUGGAGCAAGGCCAGGGAAGUCACACAGGCCACUUGUUGAAGCAGAGUGAAUGCCGUGACGUUUCCUUGACGCGCAGAUGCCAGGACAGACCAGAACCUUCGCGGGCGUUGCCAAACAGCGCAGUUUUCUGAAGCACAGAGGGGCAGGGUGGCGAUAGUGGCCACAAAGACCUUCCACGUCGUACCGGACAUGUGCUGUGCCGUCGAAAAAAAUUGCGGGGCAACGCCGAAG